CCUACGGGAGGCAGCAGUGAGGAAUAUUGGUCAAUGGACGAGAGUCUGAACCAGCCAAGUAGCGUGAAGGAUGACUGCCCUAUGGGUUGUAAACUUCUUUUAUAUAGGAAUAAAACGAGGCAUGCGUACCUUUUUGCAUGUACUUUAUGAAUAAGGAUCGGCUAACUCCGUGCCAGCAGCCGCGGUAAUACGGAGGAUCCGAGCGUUAUCCGGAUUUAUUGGGUUUAAAGGGAGCGUAGAUGGGUUGUUAAGUCAGUUGUGAAAGUUUGCGGCUCAACCGUAAAAUUGCAAUUGAUACUGGCAGUCUUGAGUACAGUUGAGGUGGGCGGAAUUCGUGGUGUAGCGGUGAAAUGCUUAGAUAUCACGAAGAACCCCGAUUGCGAAGGCAGCUCACUAAACUGUGACUGACAUUGAUGCUCGAAAGUGUGGGUAUCAAACAGGAUUAGAUACCCCAGUAGUC
rnacentral:rRNA from 1 species